GCCUACGGGGCGCAGCAGUGAGGAAUAUUGGUCAAUGGCCGAAGGGCUGAACCAGCCAAGCCGCGUGAAGGAAUAAGGCCCUACGGGUCGUAAACUUCUUUGGUCAGGGAACAAAGGGAGCCACGCGUGGCGCUGUGAGUGUACCUGAAGAAUAAGCAUCGGCUAACUCCGUGCCAGCAGCCGCGGUAAUACGGAGGAUGCGAGCGUUAUCCGGAUUUAUUGGGUUUAAAGGGUGCGUAGGCGGUUUGUCAAGUCAGCGGUCAAAGCCCGGGGCUCAACCCCGGCCCGCCGUUGAAACUGGCAGG
rnacentral:rRNA from 1 species